UGUGUGUGUGUGUGUGUGUGUGUGUGUGUGUCGGGGGAUGGUAUAAGGGAGCCCAGGGACACUGGGGCACCAGCUUAUUAACACGUGUGUACAAAUGUGGGCUGUGCGCUUGGCAAAUCCUUAAUUACAUAGGGAGACCUUCCUAAACGGGAACUCAGUAUUGGUCCCUAAAAGGUUGGGUAAUGGCUUUUUCUUGCAUCUGGAAUCCAAGGGGACCAAUCUCUCUGGUUCCCCUGGGGCCCCAGAUUCUUCUAGAUGUCUUUGUCUUCUAAAAUUCUGGGAUCCCACGGGAAGGCACAUAGUUAAGGACACUCAGAAAUGCAUACCUUUCAACCCUACUAAUCAUCCUAAAACGUGUGCUUUCAACAGAUCACGUCCUUGAUCUGUAACCCUUAGGGGCACCCAGGAUCUCCAAUGACUGGGAGUGAUGGCAUUUAAGUCUUUCCACCAUGCAGAAUUUUCUUCCCUCCCUCCCCAUGAAUUCUCUCCUGUAGCCAGCCUGGCCCCUCAUAACCCCUUGGAUAUACUGUAUCUUGAAUUCUCCAGCCUUUCUGCAGUUGCCUUCCUGGGACAUUCAUUCCCAUGUUCACAAUCUAGCCAGUUGUAUCCCUUCUCUAUUGCUAUAGUUCUAGCAUCAGUCAGUCAAUCAACAAGCAUUUAUUGGAAGUCCACUAUGUGCAAGACAUGUUCUAGGCCCUGGUAAUACAUCAGAGACUAAGACAUAUACCUGCUCUUAAGGAUUUUAUAUUUUAAUGGGAGGAACAGGGUAAACUCAUGGCUCAUGCCUGUAAUCCCAGGACUUUGGGAGGCUAAGGCAAGAGGAUCACUUGAGGCCAGGAGUUCAAAACCAGCCUGGGCAGCAAGUGUCUUCUUUUGUUUCUACAAAAGAAAAUUAAAAAUAACAAAAAGGAAGUUAACUAGAGUAUUGUGGUAGAGGGUAUGUGUGUGUGUGCAUGUGGGUGCGUCCGUGUGUGUGGUGGGUUGAUGGGUGCUGUUUUAUUUAGCCAGGGAAGGUCUCUUUGAGGAGGUGGCAUUUGAGACCUUGUGGGUGGGAAGGAGGCAGUCAUGUGGCGAUCUGGGGAAGAGUGCUGCAAGCAGAAGGGAAAGUAAAAACAAAAGCCCUCAGGCAGAAAUGUGUUCCUUAUACUUAAGAAACACCAUGAAGGCCAAUGUGGUUAGAGCAAUGUGAGCAAGGAGAAUAGAGGGACCUUGGGGACAUAGGUAGCCAAGUACUCAUGGAUCAAGCCAGCAGGUUCUCUUCAACACCCCAGCCCCGGAGAGCUGCAGAUUGGACAAUGGGCAGACUUUGUUGAACAGAUGAACAACCGUGGCUUAAUCUGUUUUGGAAAAAAAAAAAAAAAAGACCUGAAGCAAUUGAUAAACAAGAGACUGAGGUCAGUGUGAAGGAAGAGUAAAUGAGGCCAGAUUGGAGAACGCUGAAACGUGAUGUCUGCUGGGACAAUGGUGCAUGAGCAGAGGAGAUAUUCAUCAGCUGUACAUCUACUGUUCCUUGCUGCCCCACGAGCCCAGAAUGCUGGUUGUCUCACAAUGUUUGGCGGUUCAGUGACAUGUGUGUUUCAUCUUUGAUUGCUAAGUGGGGGUGCUGACAGCCCUGAGAGGUCAUGUUUUCCAUUCAAACCAGAACUUGUUUGAAUGCAGAAAAGAAAAAGGCAAUGGCAUUCUAAAAAAUGUGAAUGAC